GGGGUUGUGGCUCAGUGGUAGAGCGCUUGCCUCGCACGAGGGAGGCCUGGGUUAGAACCUCAGCACCA
rnacentral:tRNA from 1 species